rnacentral:lncRNA from 1 species
CUUCUUGCAGUAAUCGAAAAUUACACAAGUGAACGAGGGAAGUAAAAUUUUAUGGUUCUCCUCCCGUGAAAUGUAGAAGUCUCUGGAAGAUACCGUAUCUUCAAUUCGUCAUUCAUCUUGGAAUCCGCGUGGGCCAGAAAGCAAUGCGUUUCGUUUGAAGUUUUCUUGAAAUCCAAUUCUUUGUUAUCCAUGAAGUCUUACAAAAAAUGAAACGGAUGGAGGGGAGCUACGUAUGACUGGAUCCUCAAAGAGAAGUUACGUAGGCAGCUUGGCAUACUACUCCAAGUUCAGUCAAAGCUGAUGAAUUUGUGGUGCGGAACCCGGGAUCAACAACACAAUCCGAAACCCCACAUAUAACACCAGCACGCAGAAAACUUGAAGCCUUAAAUAAACCAUCCCUACGUACCCCACAAUCAACGGUGCGAUGGUGAACAACGGUAACUGGGAAUAGGAAAGAGAAUUGAAAAGGCGCCACGAGAAUACCUCGGUAAAUAGAUUCAACUCCUAAUUCAAGGGGACGGGUGAAGAAUCCUCCAAGGAGCACUCGCAAUUAGCAAAAGCUGAACGCAGUAGAACUUCCUCUCUCCCGGCGGGAUUCCGCUUGCUCCGGGGUUGUUUGCUCGUGGGAAUUGCGGCUGCCUUGACUCACAUCAAUUUAAGUUUGCUGCUAGAGUUCACGGAAUGAGCAGAACUACGUAUGACUUGAUCCUCAAAGAGAAGGUACGUAGGCAGCUCGGAGUACUAACUACUCCGAGUCCAGUCAAAUUCAAGCAUUUGAAAUUUUUAUUAGACCCAAUGGAUAAGGAGGUAUUGGAUGCGAUGUCUUCCGAUCACUGUUGGAUUCCGAGUAAAAAGAAUACGAAACGCAGUGCUUUGGAAUCAAGUCGGAUUUCAAAACGAAAGAGAAAUCGAAAAUACAGUAACUUUUAAAGACGUCCAUAUUUCAAGGAAAUGAUUUUCAAGUACUUUGAAGGAGGAUGAGAGGUGAAUGGAGUGUACAGCAAGGGAAUGACUCCUGAACUUGCGGGGUAUUUCUGAAAAAGUUGAAAAAGAAAGCUGUAUUGCUUUGUUUCAGCACAAGCAUUCUCCGCCAAUGGCCUGCGCGGCUUUUUAGAUUUUGAACCGUAAGAAUCGGCGCGUUCUUGGCAUCUGACGGUGGCGUAGGCUUGUUGUGUCGAUCUCUAAACUUGAUCGCGCUAAGAACGCACCGAUUCCUUAUUUCGUCGUUGCGUUCAAAUUCCCAAAAGCAACGGAAGCUAUUCUUGAAGGCUGUUCGUGCUACGAAAGCAACUUCUUCAACUUUUUCGAAAAAUACCCAUUAGAUUCGCGAGUCGUUGCCUUCGAUUCUUCAUUUACACUGCCGUAAACUCCGUUUCAUUUCCCAGACUUCUUGAAGUAAUCGAAAAUUACACAAGUGAACGAGGGAAGUAAAAUUUUAUGGUUCUCCUCCCGUGAAAUGUAGAAGUCUCUGGAAGAUACCGUAUCUUCAAUUCGUCAUUCAUCUUGGAAUCCGCGUGGGCCAGAAAGCAAUGCG